rnacentral:rRNA from 1 species
AUUGAACGCUGGCGGCAUGCCUAAUACAUGCAAGUCGAGCGGAGCGGCGGACGGGCGAGUAAUGCCUAGGAAUCUGCCCGGUAGUGGAGGAUAACGUCAGGAAACGGGCGCUAAUACCGCAUACUAUCAGAUGAGCCUAGGUCGGAUUAGCUGGUUGGUGGGGUAAGGGCCUACCAAGGCGACGAUCCGUAACUGGUCUGCGAGGAUGAUCAGUCACACUGGAACUGAGACACGGUCCAGACUCCUACGGGAGGCAGCAGUGGGGAAUAUUGGACAAUGGGCGAAAGCCUGAGCCAGCCAUGCCGCGUGUGUGAAGAAGGUCUUCGGAUUGUAAAGUACUUUCAGCGGGGAGGCGUUACCCGCAGAAGAAGCACCGGCUAACUCCGUGCCAGCAGCCGCGGUAAUAC